UAUAGGGAGUGGAGCUCUUGAGAGAGAGAGGGGCUGCAGGAGACAGCCCAGCAGGCACCUAAACCACCCAUGAGAGGUAGGAGUAUAGGGAUCUAAAGUGCCAGUCAACUAAGUUUAGAAGUUGCAGUACUUAAGUGGAGGAAUGGAUGGGACCAAUCUGGAUCAGAUCUGUAGUAACUACUACCCAACAAUUUGAUAACAUACAAAAUUACCUGGACAGGAAGACAGACGGAGAGAGAACAUUAGACUUGUUUCAUAUCUCAAUACCACGAAUUUAUUACUACAAAACUGAUAUAGCACAAAAUCCCUCUGUGUAUGUACAUGUGUGCAUUCAUCUUUGCUUACAUGGCCUUUACAAUUAAUUCACACAAUUAAGGAAAAUAAAAUAUGUGACACACCCAGAUCCUGGAUGCAGUCAGGUGUGCCUUUGAGACAUACUCUUGGGAUGUUCUCAGAGUACCAAAACCUUCUCUGCCAUCUGCUGCUUGACCAGUGAGAAGCAACUAAGUCCUGACCAGUGGUGCAUCAGCUUUACC